UCCCUGAUGGUCCAGUGGCUAAGACUCUGCACUCCCAACGCAGGAGCCCAGGUUCUAUCCCUGGUCAGAGAA
rfam:TPA: Bos taurus chromosome 17, whole genome shotgun sequence.